rnacentral:misc_RNA from 1 species
CAAAGCUCGAGGGUUUAGCUAGGUAAAUUAAAUUAAAACGAUACAUAAAAAACUUAAAAAAAAAAACUAAAAUUUUAAAGUUGCUGCCGAUCCAAAAGGAAUACUUUGAGCUAUCUGUGUACAUAGAUUUGUUUUCCAAGUGUUUUGUGCGUUGGUUUUUGUUUUUGGUUUUUUUUUUCCCCGUUUUAGAUUCUUUUGGUAUCUUGUGACUGGAAUAUUCUGCUAUGUAUGACCUUUUCGUUUGGCUGCCGAGAAAGCGAAGUAAAUCAAAAGAAAUCUAUGGAAUUGUCCAAAUGGCCACUCCAACUCCUAAUAAGUCAAACGAUAUCUAUGAUAUUUUCAAAUACACUUGUCAGUCAUUUUCUCUAUAUAUCAGUGCAAUUACUUAUGUGUCCUAAAAUUAUUAUGUGGAGCAUCAUAGUACGGUUUCUAAUUUUUAUAUAGUAAAUCUGCAUAUGUGUUGAUCUGCUCUCAGAUUCUUACUCAUGAUCAUUUACACUGUUUAUCAAUAUGUGGGUUUUGUUGACCAUGCCUUUUUUUUUUUGAAUUGUUAUUUGCAUCACAAUGCCCCAAGGACGUAAUGACAAUGGAUUGUUAUCCUGGUUAAUCCUUAGUUGUAUAUAGCAUAGUUAUUAAAGGCUAAAGGCGCAUUAAGCCGCCGAGGGGUCCUGGAGUCUAGGAGCAAUGCGCAAAGUGUAGGCGCGCGCCUGAGCAGCGAGGAAUAAAGGUAUAUUAUUUCUUGCAAUUGAUCAAAACAGGCCCCUUUCAGAUCAAGGCCCUUUUGACAUUGUUUUGCAUAAGCUAACUGGAAAGGAGUGGCGACAGAUUCUUGAGGUUGGCCUCUUAUCUGCUUUCAUCAUCUCUAUUUUUGCCUUAUGAACAUCUGAAUUUUAGGGGGUAGAUCAAUUAUGAUAUUGUUUUUGCAUGAUAACUUGAAUGCCAUACAAUAUCAGUCAAGGCAAAGGAUCAAAUAUCACCAAUUUUAAAAUGCUUAAAUCUUGUUCCUGUCUGACAUAAUUUGCAGAGUGCUUGCUCCUUCCUCCUCCAUACAUCAUGACUUGAUAGUUGAGGUCAAGGCAGCAAGUGAGGCUUUUUUCUACUUCCAUGACCAUCUAGCUGAUUCUUUCAUGUGUUCCUAAGCAUCAUUUGCCAAAAAAAAAAAGCUCUUUCACUGUUAACUCCUUUUAAUCAGCUGAUUUUUAGAUGGCUGCGGUGUUACCUCCUUUUUGUCUGCUGAAUGUGAGAUGGCUUCUCAUCCCUGGUUCAAAAUCUUUUGUACCUAUAUUCUAGUCUUAGCUAUUCAUCAUCUUCUAGGAUCAGGCUGUCUGAACAAGCAUCCCUUACAUAUAUACUUUCUUGGAUUGCUGGCACCAAUUAAUAGUUAAACAUGGUAGGAUAUUAACUGCAAACUUUCUGACCUCCUCUAGAUUAAGGUUCUGGUGUUCUAAUCCAGUUACUUUUGACUUAUGAUAAGGCUUAAGCAUUCUGGUCUGGUGCUUCCAUGAAUUCAUAUGAAUAUUACUUGAGCUUUACUUGCUGCUUUAACUCUGCAUUGCUUGUCCAUGAUAUCAUGCUUGACGUCCAUGUUAUUGCGAAUAACUGAAUAUCUGCUUUUGCAAGUAAAAUAGGAUUGUCUGACUGCUAUUAUUCAUUUUGCAUUGUCUUUUUCUCACCAAUAAAGUUAUACAACCUAUAAAAUGGACCAAGCUAAACAGUGUCUGCUUGAGAUAAGAUGACAACAGCAGAGAAGUUUCACUAUUUACUAACAUCUUUUCAUUCGUUUCCUGUUCUUUGUAAUGUUGUUAGAGGCAAGGACUGGUUAUCUGUAUUUUAACUAGUUAUUUUUGGCUCUCCAAUUUGCAUUAGUAGUCAUUUCGCAUGUUUUGCUAAUCCCUUGUCCUAAUAUCAAUUUGUAAAGAAUCUGUAGGCUUAAGAAGUGUGAUUGGUGUUUCUUAUGUUUAAGAAUAGCGAGUAUUAAUGGAUUAGAUAUGAUCUUCAUAAGCGUGUAAGAUUCCAAUUAGCAAUAUUUUUCUUGUCCUUUUUUUUGGCCUCGUGUCAUUGUUAUAUAAUUUAUCAUCUAUGUUGGGGCAGCAUUAUUACUAAAUCUGGUUAGUCAUAAUUGUUAAUUGGUAUCUUAUGUUAUUUGUACAUUAUUGGCAAUCUUCAUUGCAGUAUAAAAAUUUUGGUUUAUAUAUUUGAAAUGAGAUAAUAGAAUCAUCAUUGGCCGAACUUAGAGGAGUUGGAACCCGAAAGCUUCAAAUAUUGGUUCGAAGAGCAAUGUUUUGAAAUAUUAGGUCCUGGGUAAGAGCUUUUCUGAAAAUUGAAGCACUGCAGCUCACUUUGUGUUCUUUUUUUAUAGGUGCUAUUGACACUAGCAAAAUUAUCUGCAGUACUUAUUUCUUCAUGUCAUUUAUUUGCAAUAAUUAUGUAUCGAUUUCAAUGAGCAUAGUAUUCCUCACCUCUUAGAUUUGUCUAGGAAUGCCUCAAGAAUCUAAUGAUAUGAUCCUGUUAGGUUUUAUCUUUCACUGUGUCUCUGGCAAAAAUUUUCUGUUUUAAGAGUGGCCCUUACCUUUUAUUUGCCUUUAAUUGCAGGACUACAGAAGGACUCAUCCAGAAGUCACUGUACUUGAUCCUCCAGAUGCUAUUCAACAUUUACACAAUCGUCAGUCUAUGCUUCAGUGUGUGGCUGAUAUGAAUCUGUCGAACUCCUAUGGUAAUUUCUCACGUUCUUCUUGUGGAUGUUAAAUUGGGAGAGUUGUUUGUCUGAAAAUGGCCAGUACAGUGUAUGUGUUCCUCGAACCGGUCCCCCUCUUCCUCUUUAUUUCUUUCUUUAUCUGAAAAUUUUUAUGAUGCAGGUAAAGUAGAUAUUCCCAGGCAAUUAGUUAUCAAAAAGGAUGCAGCAUCCAUCCCUGACACAGUCACAAACGCUGGGCUGAUGCUACCAAUUGGUACAUUUGUUGUGUGCAUUGAUUCUCCUAAUGUGUCAGUCUCUUUGUUUAGCUAUGGAUGUGCACCAAUUUGGCUGGAAACUUAUUUUUAGAUUAUGAUGCAAGCAAUUGCUAUGAUAGUAUUUCAGAAGUUACUGAAUUCAGGAAAUCAUUACGAGAUAACUCUUAUAAUUUCUCGCUAAUUUCCUGAUACUUCAUUCUAAGUGAUUUGAAUUCCCUUGAAUCAUCAGUUGCGAAGCCACUAGUUGCAGAUGGGAGUGCAAAGUCGCAUGAAUUAUCAAUUGCUUAUGAUCAACACUCCCUUAAGAAACUCGAACCUCCACUUGUUCUUCAGGAGUUUGUUAACCAUGGUAUGAUGUUAUAAUUUUUUUUUUCCCUAUUAAUUUAGCAGUACCAUUGGUGAGAAAUGACUCCACACAUAUCCUCUUUGAUCAUGGUUAUAGGAGGUGUUCUCUUCAAAGUUUAUAUUGUAGGGGAGGCUAUUAAGGUGGUUCGGCGGUUCUCUUUACCUGAUGUCUGUAAACGGGAACUCUCCAAUAGUGAAGGCGUCUUCCGUUUUCCACGGGUUUCCUGUGCAGCAGCUUCUGCAGACGAUGCUGAUCUGGAUCCUGGUGUUGCUGGUGAGUUGUCCUGUGACCCGUCUUACUUUUGUAUUGUUCUCAUCUCCUUUUGAAAUUUGUGAAUUGCAGGGUGGGGUAUAUGUUCUUAAUUUUUUUGAUGGUUAUAGGAGAAAUAAGUCAUAUUCUUGGGUGGGGGUGGUUUGGUGCAUCGGUCCUUCCAGCAUUGUGCUCUCAGCAUGAACUACUUUUCCAGGGAAUGUAUAGUUCCUUUGGUCUCACAUGUAUUGGGUGAAUGCUAGGAUAAAUUUCUGGGACCCAAGCUAGUGGGUAAAGUUGAACUCCAGUACUUCAUUGGUCCAUUCUGCCCCCUUUUGAGGUGAAAGGUGGAUUUUCUUUAGGCCCCAAAAGUGAAAUUGAAUUUUGUUGAGCUCUAACAUGGUUAUCUCCUGCUGCAGAGCUUCCUCCACAACCCUUACUCGAGAAACUUGCAAAGGAACUUCGUCGCCGACUGGUAGUAGUUCUUUACUUGUAUUGUCUUUCAGAUUUUCACCUGCAUACAUAUUGUCAUCGCCUCUGUCAUUUUGCAUUUACUUUAUUAUUAAUUAUUAUGUGCAGGGUCUCCGGCUGUUCAAUUUAGACAUAAUCCGAGAGCAUGGGACCAGAGAUCAAUUUUUUGUCAUUGACAUCAACUAUUUCCCUGGCAAGUGAAAAUUUAUUCUUAUUUUGGGUUGCCAUUUUGCACAAGAAAUUUUCUCAAUCAUGCGAAAAAGUUUUCAUUGAAAUUGUGCCAAGAUCACUAGGG